UACGUAGGGGGCAAGCGUUGUCCGGAUUUAUUGGGCGUAAAGAGCGUGUAGGCGGCUUUACAGGUCCGUUGUGAAAACUCGAGGCUCAACCUCGAGACGCCGGUGGAAACCGUAAAGCUAGAGUCCGGAAGAGGAGAGUGGAAUUCCUGGUGUAGCGGUGAAAUGCGCAGAUAUCAGGAGGAACACCCGUGGCGAAAGCGGCUCUCUGGGACGGUACUGACGCUGAGACGCGAAAGCGUGGGGAGCAAACAUG
rnacentral:rRNA from 1 species